CUAAGGCAGAGAAGCACCUGAGGACACUUCUACUUCUCAGUCUAGGACAUUUGCUUCCUACUGGUUAAGCUCCAGCCCCACACCACCCCAGUUCCUUAGGUUCUGGAAGACUUUACAAACAUCCCAGGGAGGGAUCAUCUCUGGAUGUGUUAUCAGCCGAUGCUUUAUCCAGAUUACAUUUACAGCUAACAGAGGAAUAACAAUGUCAGCCCUUUAACGUGAGGAGACAUUUGCCUGAUUUUGGAUUUUUCCACCCUUGUCCUGACAGAAGACUCCUUCUCUCACUGCUCUGCAUGUGGCCAGAACAGUGUUAUCUUGACAGGAAGACCCUCUCUGCUGUCAUGUUGAACCUCCAAGGUGUUAAAAAUAAUAGCUUCCACCCAGCUAAUUCCUGUGGGGAGUGUGAAGAUGACAAAGGAUAUUUGGAAGAGGAACUUCGCAAGCUAAUCCAUCAGCUGAUCAUCGUUGUUUCAUUCCUGUAUGCUUUAUGUCUCUCAGUGUCUAAGAAAUAGUGUUUCUUCUCUAGCUCCAGUCAAGUAAAAUUUAAUUGCUUAUGUCCUGA